AUGUGGCCGAAGAGCAAACCGGAGAACUUGUGUGUAUGCCAGAAACAUAGUCUUUUUGAACUUCUCAAGGUACGAGGGACUUGCGUGGAGCCUCCUACUGGAUUGAUACCUUGGUUCUCAAAAACUAAGGGAAAUACUUACGCUACUUUGUUGCAUCACCCUUUUCUCUUCAAGGGAAAAAUCAAUGCAUGCUCAAGAGGUAGCAAGAAGGAUUUCUGGCGCCGUUGCCUGGGAGGUCUACGCACAAGUCAAGACAUACCAAGUACCCAUCACAAAAUUUUAUCCCUCGCAUUAGAUUAUUUGCCAUUUGCCUCUCAUUUUUCUCUCCCCCACUUCACCCUUGCCGUUUUAUUCACCCUUCUUCUGUUCGUCUUUUUCGUUUGCUUUGAUGUCUUACUUGGCUCGUUUGAUCGUUUGGUUGGAAUAGUUGUUUAUUUAUUGCUAAACAGAGAACCUAAGAUCUAUGGAUCCUCAUCCGCUUGCUAA
rnacentral:rRNA from 1 species